UACGUAGGGUCCGAGCGUUGUCCGGAAUUACUGGGCGUAAAGAGCUCGUAGGUGGUUUGUCGCGUUGUUCGUGAAAACUCACAACUCAAUUGUGGGCGUGCGGGCGAUACGGGCAGACUUGAGUACUGCAGGGGAGACUGGAAUUCCUGGUGUAGCGGUGGAAUGCGCAGAUAUCAGGAGGAACACCGGUGGCGAAGGCGGGUCUCUGGGCAGUAACUGACGCUGAGGAGCGAAAGCGUGGGGGAGCGAACAGG
rnacentral:rRNA from 1 species